UACGUAGGGUGCAAGCGUUGUCCGGAAUUAUUGGGCGUAAAGAGCUCGUAGGCGGUCUGUUGCGUCGGCUGUGAAAACCCGGGGCUCAACCCCGGGCCUGCAGCCGAUACGGGCAGACUAGAGUUCGGCAGGGGAGACUGGAAUUCCUGGUGUAGCGGUGAAAUGCGCAGAUAUCAGGAGGAACACCGGUAGCGGCGAAGGCAGGUCUCUGGGCAUUAACUGACGCUGAGGAGCGAAAGCAUGGGGAGCGAACAGG
rnacentral:rRNA from 1 species